UAUAUUUAUAACUAACAUAUAAUAUUUUUCAUAUUAAUGGUUAUGUGACACCCUAAAUCUAAAUUUAAGAUGAGGAAAUCAAUAGUUUUUGGUAACAUUUGUAAGAAGUAUAAGAUUUAAAAUAAUUCUCAAAAAAAAUAAAUAUGUCAAGACACUUAUUCCAUCAAAACAAUAAUUUUGAUAAAAUUAUUGUUUUUCAACUAGAUAUCACCUAUCAAUAAAUCAAGGCACUUAUUCCGAAAUAGAACCUUAUUAGUACAAAUUAAAAUGGAUAAACAUCCUUGAUAGUCACCAACACACUGACUUCCUCUGAAAGUUGUUUAAGGUUGCUAAUGUGACAAACUCCUAACACAAAUCACGAAGGUGAGUAAUCAAAUCAUGUUAAUUUAUAUUAGCAGUCGGUAAAUAAUUUACAAGGUAUUUAUAUAUUCAAAUAUGAUAACUAAAUAAAAAUAUUGCAAAUUUAAAUGAUUCACUAUAGUUUAAACAUAUACAUAAUAUCAAUUGUGGUUAAGGAGUCAAAAACUUAUUGUUAAUUAAAGUAAUAUAUCUACUCAUUCAUGUUCAUCAUCAAGUCAUUAAUGUGGUCACUGCUAAUAGCUACACAUAUGAGUUCAUACUCUAAUUUAUUUAUUUUUAAUAAUAAUAAUAAUAAUAAUAAUAAUAAUAAUAAUAUCUUUGGAUUACACAUAAUUUUCACGUUGAUUUCAAGCGAAACAGACUUCUAAUGACGAAGAUGGCAACAAAAUAAUGAAACUAAUCAAUGGAAGUGUUGGUGUUUUAAGAGAAUAGAUGGAAGGGUUAUAAAAUUAAAAUUUAUACUUGAAUUGCUAAAUCAAUCAUAGGAAUAUUUUUUUAAAAACUCGGUAUAUGUUCCAAGGACCGAGUAACCCGAAGAGAUCAGUCCCACUGUCCAUUUGCAGGAGCCCCGUUUAAAGCUAGAGCAAAGCUCCGUAUGGACUUACCCCGAUAUCAUCAAGAUUGAGUUCUGCAUCUUGUUUCAACUACCUUGUUGUGUUAAUUCUCUACCUACCUUUUAUUCUCUAUUAACACUAUUGCUUUCUUUAAUAUUCGGGAUUAACUGAAUUUAUUUUCUCAAAAUACAAAAACUUUAUCAAUAAUAACUUCUAAAAAAGUAUUCAAAUAGACUAACCUGCAUAUACAAAUAUUACUAAUACACCUCACAAAUGUAUUAGGGGGACACCUAAAGAAGUCUGGACAAUCACCAGCGACGGUGCACUUUAUAUCUGCAAAGUAAAAUAACAAUAAAUCAAUUUCAUCAAAAGGUAAUGAAAGAUUGUGUAUAAUAUAAAGAACAAAAUGCAAAACCACAUACCAUUACUGGUUACAACAAGAAUUAGAGAAAGAAAUAUCAUCAAUGCAUAAAAAGACUUGGAAAUUUGGUCCAUAUUUUUC
rnacentral:lncRNA from 1 species